ensembl:antisense Bloodlinc Bloodlinc, erythroid developmental long intergenic non-protein coding transcript
GAGUUGUAGAUAGGUGUGAGCUGUCAUGUGGGUGCUGGAUCCCGGUGCUCUUAGCUGCUGAGCUAUCUCUCCAGACUCCAUCCUGACUUUCUUUUUUCUCUAAGGAUAUAGAAUUCACUUGCUCCCAGCACUUUCACUUCCUCCGUUUGGGACUAGGUUAGAGAGCAUCUCUGGGUGCUGCCAUAGUUAGUGGGAGCCUCCAGCAGGGAUGAGCCUGGCACUCAUCAGCAUGAGUAAAGCAAACGCUUGCUGACUGACACCUGGAUGGAUAAAGGAACCAAUUCCUGUCACAAGAGUGGAAGCUAAACAAGCCUUCAGCCUGUUUUCUGAGCCUAUGAAAGACGGAGGCACAGGGACUGAAGGAACGGAGUUGAGGUUUCACCUUCGAGGGUUCCCCAGACCCGACCCACCAGCUGCGAUUGAGAUGGGCACAGCUCAGGGCUCCAGUUUGAGACACUCCACUGCCUGGGCUCAGGAGCUCAAGAUCGAGAGGAUUUUGUUGAGCGCCUGCCUGAGCGUACCUCCACUUCCCUGAGCAAAGGCAGCAAGAGCUACUGGUCUGAGGGUCAGCGGGGCGUGCCUGCCACCACCACCACCAACUGAGGCUCUCUCCUAAAAUGACACUCACACCCGUUCUCCACCAAGCUUCUCUGGGCCUCGUCCUUCUACCUCACAACCU